rnacentral:rRNA from 1 species
CACCAGACUCCUACGGGAGGCAGCAGUGGGGAAUAUUGCACAAUGGGGGAAACCCUGAUGCAGCGACGCCGCGUGAGUGAAGAAGUAUUUCGGUAUGUAAAGCUCUAUCAGCAGGGAAGAAAAUGACGGUACCUGACUAAGAAGCCCCGGCUAACUACGUGCCAGCAGCCGCGGUAAUACGUAGGGGGCAAGCGUUAUCCGGAUUUACUGGGUGUAAAGGGAGCGUAGACGGCUGCGCAAGUCAGAAGUGAAAGUCCGGGGCUCAACCGCGGGACUGCUUUUGAAACUGUGUAGCUAGAGUGCAGGAGAGGUAAGUGGAAUUCCUAGUGUAGCGGUGAAAUGCGUAGAUAUUAGGAGGAACACCGGUGGCGAAGGCGGCUUACUGGACUGUAACUGACGUUGAGGCUCGAAAGCGUGGGGAGCAAACAGGAUUAGAUACCCGAGUA